GUGGGGGCAGAAUUUAUUUCCAUAUCUGGUGUGACAGGGGGGUCCCAACAGUUGACUGUAUUGGAAGCUGAAGUGAGCUUGACUGGGAAGGAAUGGCCAGACACCCCAUUGUGACUGGCCCAGAGGCCCCUUGCAUCC